UCUGCAUGUUUCCACCAACGACGUGUUUUCAAAGCAACAACGGUGUAUCAGUUCUAAUGCCAUGGCGAAAAUUCUAACAAAGCAUGCUAACGGUUCUGUCUUUGGCUGCACUGAAGAGCACAGAACACUAUGUAGGGUCCUAGUCUUAGUGGAGACAGGAGAGUAGUGGAUUUAUUGAUUUAUUUACUGUCUAAUGCU